rnacentral:rRNA from 1 species
GUGACAUGUUAGGACUCUAAUGAGUUUAAGACCUAAUGAGCCUCUUAAGUGAGGCCGCCAGCAACCUUUUUUUUCUCUACAUUUUAAAAAAAAAACUAAAAUUCUAUCCUUAUCGGUGGAUCACUAGGCUCGUGGAUCGAUGAAGAACGCAGCAAACUGCGAUAAUUAUUGCGAACUGCAGAAGUAUUGAGCACAAAAGUUUUGAACGCAAAUGGCCGCAUUGAGGUCAAACUCUUUGCAACGUCUGGUUCAGGGUCAU